rnacentral:rRNA from 1 species
GCUUCCUACGGGAGGCUGCAGUGGGGAAUCUUGCGCAAUGGGCGAAAGCCUGACGCAGCCAUGCCGCGUGAAUGAUGAAGGUCUUAGGAUUGUAAAAUUCUUUCACCGGGGACGAUAAUGACGGUACCCGGAGAAGAAGCCCCGGCUAACUUCGUGCCAGCAGCCGCGGUAAUACGAAGGGGGCUAGCGUUGCUCGGAAUUACUGGGCGUAAAGGGAGCGUAGGCGGACAUUUAAGUCAGGGGUGAAAUCCCGGGGCUCAACCUCGGAAUUGCCUUUGAUACUGGGUGUCUUGAGUAUGAGAGAGGUGUGUGGAACUCCGAGUGUAGAGGUGAAAUUCGUAGAUAUUCGGAAGAACACCAGUGGCGAAGGCGACACACUGGCUCAUUACUGACGCUGAGGCUCGAAAGCGUGGGGAGCAAACAGGAUUAGAUACCCUUGUAGUCGAAUCAUC